rnacentral:tRNA from 1 species
GGGUCCUUAGCUCAGUUGGUAGAGCAGUUGACUUUUAAUCAAUUGGUCGCAGGUUCGAAUCCUGCACGACCCACCA